rnacentral:rRNA from 1 species
UAGCAUAUCAAUAAGCGGAGGAAAAGAAACCAACCGGGAUUGCCUUAGUAGCGGCGAGUGAAGCGGCAAGAGCUCAAAUUUGAAAUCUAGUACCUUCGGUGCUCGAGUUGUAAUUUGUAGAGUAGUGCCUUGGGGCCGUUCCUUGCCUAUGUUCCUUGGAACAGGACGUCAUGGAGGGUGAGAACCCCGUGUGGCGAGGGGUGCGGUUCUAUGUAAGGCCUGCUCGAAGAGUCGAGUUGUUUGGGAAUGCAGCUCUAAGUGGGUGGUAAAUUCCAUCUAAAGCUAAAUACAGGCGAGAGACCGAUAGCGAACAAGUACAGUGAUGGAAAGAUGAAAAGAACUUUGAAAAGAGAGUGAAAAAGUACGUGAAAUUGUUGAAAGGGAAGGGCAUUUGAUCAGACAUGGUGUUUUGCGCCCCCUGCUCCUUGUGGGUGGGGGAAUCUCGCAGCUCACUGGGCCAGCAUCAGUUUUGGCGGCUGGAUAAAUCCGGAGGAAUGUGGCUUCUCUCGGGAAGUGUUAUAGCCUGCGGGAAUACGGCCAGCCGGGACUGAGGAACGCGACGCAAGUCAAGGAUGCUGGCAUAAUGAUUAUAUGCCGCCCGUCUUGAAACACGGACCAAGGAGUCUAACGUCUAUGCGAGUGUUUGGGUGUAAAACCCGUACGCGAAAUGAAAGUGAACGCAGGUUGGGGCCCUCUCGGGGGUGCACAAUCGACCGAUCCUGAUGUUUUCGGAUGGAUUUGAGUAAGAGCAUAGCUGUUGGGACCCGAAAGAUGGUGAACUAUGCCUGAAUAGGGUGAAGCCAGAGGAAACUCUGGUGGAGGCUCGUAGCGGUUCUGACGUGCAAAUCGAUCGUCGAAUUUGGGUAUAGGGGCGAAAGACUAAUCGAACCAUCUAGUAGCUGGUUCCUGCCGAA